rnacentral:lncRNA from 1 species
UGCUUUUUUUAGUUAUUACGUAGGCAUAUUUUUGAAUCGGGCCCGGGGCUUAGCGCCUUAGCCCAACACACAGCCAGGGCCCAGCCCAAUUUCACAUCCUAGCUCGUCCGACGCACAGAGGCCAGAGCCCCAGACCUAGCCACGCUGAGCAAGGAGUCGCCGCCGCCCGUGACUCCUCUCCGCUCCGGCGCCUCCCGGCCCUGGUCAUGUAGUCUUGUGCUAAGCGCCCAUUCGCUUCACCGGAAAAGCAAAGAAACCUCAAAGAGAUUGCUUCCUGCAGGUUUUCUCACUAUAGCUGCGUUCGGGGAAUCGCUGCUUUUCAAUCAUUCGGAAAGUUUGGUGUGCCUGUACUUUUGCAGGAAACAAAGCAUCCAAUCUGUCAGCGCCCCUACACUAGUAGCGUCCAACAUGCGCGCUGUCAAGGAGGGCCCAAACAGGGACGGAUUUGGGCCCAGGCCCGGGGCGUGCUUUUUUUUAGUUAUUACCUAGGCAUAUUUUUGAAUCGGCCCGGGGCUUAGCACCUUAGCCCAACACACAGCCAGGGCCCAGCCCAAUUUCACACCCCAGCUCGUCCGACGCACAGAGGCCAGAGCCCCAGACCUAGCCACGCUGAGCAAGGAGCCGCCGCCGCCCGUGACUCCGCUCCGCUCCGGCGCCUCCCUGGCCCCGGUCAUGUAGUCUUGUGCUAAGGGCCCAUUCGCUUCACCGGAAAAGCAAAGAAAGCUCAAAGAGAUUGCUUCCUGCAGGUUUUCUCACUGUAGCUGCGUUCGGGGAAUCGCUGCUUUUCAAUCAUUCGGGAAGUUUGGUAUGCCUGUACUUUUGCAGGAAACAAAGCAUCCAAUCUGUCAGCGCCCCUACACUAGUAGCGUCCAACACGCGCGCUGUCAAGGAGGGCCCAGACAAGGACGGAUUUGGGCCCAGGCCCGGGGCGUGCUUUUUUAGUUAUUACCUAGGCAUAUUUUUGAAUCGGGCUCGGGGCUUAGCGCCUUAGCCCAACACACAGCCAGGGCCCAGCCCAAUUUCACACCCUAGCUCGUCCGACGCACAAAGGCCAGAGCCCCAGACCUAGCCACGCUGAGCAAGGAGCCGCCGCCCGCCCGUGACUCCUCUCCGCUCCGGCGCCUCCCUGGCCCCGGUCAUCCCAGGUCCCUCCGUGGCUCCGCCACUCGCCCGC